UCAGUCUUAAUUCAAACGUCCAUUUAAAGUCAAAGCUGCAUGUACGUUAAGCUCGAAUACGACCUAUAACCUGAAUGAAAGCGUAACAUUUCAGUUCAACUUUAUUUUCAAUGUAAUCAUAAAAUUGAACUCGUACAAGAAAGUAACAAAAAAAAUACAUCAUUUAAUUUUUCGUUCAAGUAGUACUGGUCGAAGCAGAUACUACCUUUGAUAACACAAAAUAUAAGUCAAAUCUUUAUAAACUAGUAACGUCUCACAAUAUAACUGAAAAUUGUUCAUUUGUUACACACAUCCAUCACACUUAUAUGAAAUGUAAAAGCUGAAUACACUAUUUAUUGUUUUCAAUAUUCGAAAUCCAUUGUUUAUCUCCCGGAAAUAUUCUUGAUAGAGUAACCACAAAUGGUCACGCACGUUGUUCUGCAGUGAGUUGUUUUUGCACAAAACUUACAAACGCCUUGUGUAUUGUUUUUACAAUAUCCACAAAAUUGUAAGCCUAAUGAACACAUUCUGCAAUAAUAACACCCUUUCAUAAUGGCCAUCAUCAUUCUUUGCUGAAAACUGUUUACAGACUGCUGAGCAGGAUUGGCAUGAUAAGCAGGAUUGGCAUGCUGAGCAGGAAUGGCACGCUGAGCAGAAUUGGCACGCUGAUCAAGAGCAACGCAAGUCCACAUAAAUAGAAAGCAGACAAUAGUAUUCUUCAUGUUUAAGUUUAUCGACGUUCACUUGAAGUAGUAAAUUGAUGUUUUUAAACUCUUUCGUCAACUUACA
rnacentral:lncRNA from 1 species